rnacentral:rRNA from 1 species
AGCGAACGCUGGCGGCAGGCCUAACACAUGCAAGUCGAACGAACCUUUCGGGGUUAGUGGCGGACGGGUGAGUAACACGUGGGAACGUGCCUUUAGGUUCGGAAUAACUCAGGGAAACUUGUGCUAAUACCGAAUGUGCCCUUCGGGGGAAAGAUUUAUCGCCUUUAGAGCGGCCCGCGUCUGAUUAGUUAGUUGGGUGAGGUAAUGGCUCACCAAGGCGACGAUCAGUAGCUGGUCUGAGAGGAUGAUCAGCCACAUUGGGACUGAGACACGGCCCAAACUCCUGCGGGCGGCAGCAGUGGGGGAUCUUGCGCAAUGGGCGAAAGCCUGACACAGCCAUGCCGCGUGAAUGAUGAAGGUCUUAGGAUUGUAUAAUUCUUUCACCGGGGACGAUAGUGACGGUACCCGGAGAAGAAGCCCCGGCUAACUUCGUG